GGAAAAUGCGUAGAGGUAAGAGAGCCGCUACGGUACCAAAACCAAAAGUGCCGGAUGAAAUAUCGGUGCAGGAUGAGGCACCUGCCCCAAGGAAACGGGGUAGGAGACCUAGAGCUGCUCAAGUGGAAGAGCAAUAACCAGAAGUAAAGGAACAGUUCUUUAUGGCCUAGGGUCAUAUGGAUCCAAUGGUAGCCACUCUGGCAGGUCUACAAAGAACAGAGAACUAUAAACAUGAUGGCUCAAUACAU
rnacentral:misc_RNA from 1 species